AUACCUUUCUCGGCCUUUCGGCCAAGAUCAAGUGAUAGUAUCUGUUCUUAUCAGAUUAAUACAUUUAAUUUUGGUACGUUUGAAAUAGGAGAUAAUAAAAUGUAGGAAAAUCUU
rnacentral:snRNA from 1 species